GGAUGAGCCCGCGGCCUAUCAGCUUGUUGGUGAGGUAAUGGCUCACCAAGGCGACGACGGGUAGCCGGCCUGAGAGGGCGACCGGCCACACUGGGACUGAGACACGGCCCAGACUCCUACGGGAGGCAGCAGUGGGGAAUAUUGCACAAUGGGCGAAAGCCUGAUGCAGCGACGCCGCGUGAGGGAUGACGGCCUUCGGGUUGUAAACCUCUUUCAGCAGGGAAGAAGCGAAAGUGACGGUACCUGCAGAAGAAGCGCCGGCUAACUACGUGCCAGCAGCCGCGGUAAUACGUAGGGCGCAAGCGUUGUCCGGAGUUAUUGGGCGUAAAGAGCUCGUAGGCGGCUUGUCACGUCGGGUGUGAAAGCCCGGGGCUUAACCCCGGGUCUGCAUUCGAUACGGGCUAGCUAGAGUGUGGUAGGGGAGAUCGGAAUUCCUGGUGUAGCGGUGAAAUGCGCAGAUAUCAGGAGGAACACCGGUGGCGAAGGCGGAUCUCUGGGCUAUUACUGACGCUGAGGAGCGAAAGCGUGGGGAGCGAACAGGAUUAGAUACCCUGGUAGUCCACGCCGUAAACGUUGGGAACUAGGUGUUGGCGACAUUCCACGUCGUCGGUGCCGCAGCUAACGCAUUAAGUUCCCCGC
rnacentral:rRNA from 1 species